GACGAACGCUGGCGGCGUGCUUAACACAUGCAAGUCGAACGGAAAGGCCCUGCUUUUGUGGGGUGCUCGAGUGGCGAACGGGUGAGUAACACGUGAGUAACCUGCCCUUGACUUUGGGAUAACUUCAGGAAACUGGGGCUAAUACCGGAUAGGAGCUCCUGCUGCAUGGUGGGGGUUGGAAAGUUUCGGCGGUUGGGGAUGGACUCGCGGCUUAUCAGCUUGUUGGUGGGGUAGUGGCUUACCAAGGCUUUGACGGGUAGCCGGCCUGAGAGGGUGACCGGCCACAUUGGGAAUGAGAUACGGCCCAGACUCCUGUGGGAGGCAGCAGUGGGAGAUAUUGUGCAAUGGGCGGAAGCCGGAUGCAGCAACGCCGCGUGCGGGAUGACGGCCUUCGGGUUGUAAGCCGCUUUCGCCUGUAACGAAGCGUGAGUGACGGUAAUGGGUAAAGAAGCACCGGCUAACUACGUG
rnacentral:rRNA from 1 species